UACGUAGGGGGCAAGCGUUGUCCGGAGUUACUGGGCGUAAAGCGCACGCAGGCGGUCGAUUAAGUUUGGAGUGACAGUUGGUGGCUUAACUGCCAAAGUGCUUCGAAAACUGAUCGACUUGAGGGCUUCAGAGGGACACGGAAUUCCGGGUGGAGUGGUGAAAUGCGUAGAUAUCUGGAGGAACACCGGUGGCGAAGGCGGCAUCCUGGACCAACACUGACACUGAGGAGCGAAAGCCAGGGGAGCAAACGGG
rnacentral:rRNA from 1 species